UAAGGGACGUAAACCAUUCGGAAGCUUGAAAUUACCUUUGUAGAGGUUUAGUAACAGAGAAAGAUAGUAGUAAUCAAGAUAAGUUUUUGGCAUCACAUAAUACUUUUAGGUUCUUAAUGGUUAAAACUUUUGCAAGAAAAUUUUAGACUUAAGUGCUUUCGUUGACUAAAAAUGGCCUUCCAAAAGAAAUUCCCAAGACCAACACCACUCUGGCGCCCUCCUGCACCGUCAACCAACACUAAUCUCCUACCCCCACCGCCACCUCCCGACACAUCAAUUACUACACCCCCGACCCUGUCUUUCACACCCGCCACAUCGACCACUCAAUCCCAACUCGCUAGCUUCAUCAACUCCCACCUCAAAAACAACCUCACCCCUAACGACCUCCUUUCUUUUCUUAAGAACCACCUCCACCAUCAUCCGAAAUACGCUCACCUUGACCUCCAUGUCUUCCGCUACGCUGCCACACUAGACUCCUUCCGUCACGACCACAACACCUAUGAAUGGAUGGUCCGAACCCUUGCCAUCACUCACCGCCUUGACUCCCUAUCAUCUGUCCUUGAUUUCCUUGUUUCCAACCCUUGCCCUUGUUCCGAUGGUAUAUUUUCUUGUUCUCGGACGGAACCUAUUUUUCGUUUUGCUAUCAACUCCUUCUGUAAUGUUGGUAGGUUCGAUGAUGCACUUCAUGCAUUUGAUAAUAUGCUUAAACUAAUUGAUGGCAAACCCAAUUCAGCUAUAUACAAUACAAUAAUUCAUAGUUUUGUCAAGUAUGAGAAACUAGAUAAGGGUUUAGAGUUUUAUCGUAGAAUGAUUGUUGACCACGUUAAGCCUGAUGUGGUCACUUUUAACAUAUUGAUCAAUGGGUAUUUUCGUAAUUCAAAAUUUGGGUUGGCACUAGAGGUGUUCAAGGAAAUGAGGGUCAAGGGUUGUGUUCCAAAUGUGGUCACUUUCAAUACUUUGAUCAAAGGAUUUUUUAGAGAACGUAAGUUUACAGAAGGGAUCGGAAUGGCACAUGAGAUGAUCGAAUUGGGAUGUGGUUUGUCAUGUGUAACCUGUGAGAUUUUGGUUGACGGGCUAACCAAGGAGGGGAAAGUUUCAGAGGCUUGUGAUCUUGUGCUUAGCUUUUCAAGAAAAGGAGUUUUACCAACAAAUUUUGAUUAUUUUGCCUUGAUCGAGAGGCUUUGUGAUAAAGGGUAUGUGGUCAAAGCAGGAUCAGUAGUAGACGAAAUGUGGAACAAUGGAAAUGUGCCAACCUCUAUCACUUGUACUAUCUUGAUUGAGGGUUUUAGGAGGAUUAGGAACAUUGAAUUGGCACUCAAGUUAAUGGAUAAGAUGCUUAAAGAAAGUAUUGUUCCCGAUAGUGUGACUUUUAACUGUCUUCUUGACGAUUUGUGUAGUUUAGGAAGAACAGUAGAGGCGAAUAAUUUGAGGAUAUUGGCUUCUAAGAAAGGUGUAUGUGUUGAUGAGAUGACUUAUAAUAUAUUAGUAAGAGGGUAUGCAAAGGAAGGGAAAAAGAAAGAGGGAAAGGUUAUAGUGGAUGAGAUGUUGGAUAAGGAGUUCAUACAUGAUAUUGUUAUGUAUAAUAGGCUCAUAAAAGAACUUGGUAUUAGAUGAAAUUGUACCUCUGGAAACAAAGAACAGUUGCUGCAUUUUUGGUGUUGUGACUCAUUGGAUGUGGACCCUGGUUAACUUCUUAUUUUUUUUUUAAUUAAAAAAACCCCUCAAUAAUCCACCCCUACAAAUGUAUGAAGUGAGAUUCGAACCCUGGUAGAUUACCUCAAGGUCAAAGAAUGUUUCAUUCAUAGGCUGCUCAAGAAACUUGAGACUGAACUUAAAGAAAGAAACUAAUUGAUUUGAUUUGUGUGAUCUUGUGACAAGAUUCUGUCAAUGAGCAAGGACUUGAUGUACAAGAUUGUAAAUGCAGGAAAGCUAGCUUGGUAGGUCGGUUGCAAUGGUUCUGGGACUCUGGAAGCCUACACAUGUGAGUCAUGCAUAAAGUUAGAAGAUUCUUUAUUCAACUCGCGUCGUACAGCUUCAGUUGUCAAGUCAUCGAGAACAUCAUCAAUAUCAUAUGCCAAAUGUUGGAGUUUGUUAAGCCACAACUGAACAGAUGUCUGUCUUAAGUGCUUGUGGCCUGCAUCAACAAGGACAGCUUGGACCUGGGCCAAUUUGUCGUUCCAUUUGAUGAGCUCAGCAUAGAUACCUGCAGAUUGAGCAAGCCCAAUUAAGUCACCAGAGGUGAGCUUCUCAAACAACACAGUGAUGAAUGCACCAAGAAACAGUUCAGCAAUAGCCAUCUUAAAUUAAUUAAAAGGGAAAAAGAUUGUUUGGUUUUGCUUAUGUUGGGGUUUUGAAUUAAUUAAGCAACUAACGGGGUUGACCAAUGCAAAUACUACAAUCAAAAGUCACCCAUUGUAUACAUACAUAAUGAUUGCAUUGAGCCUAAAGUUUUCG